GUCCAAAGCCCAAUGGUCAUGUCC
rnacentral:siRNA from 1 species